GAACUCUUGUUUCUCUUCAAAAUCGCAUAAAUCUUUCACCUUUUACUAAAGAUUUUUGUGUGGAGGAACAGCAAGAGUCUAUCACAAUUUUUGAUGCUCUGCGUGAGUGUAGCU